CGUGGAGCCAUCCUUGAAAUACCACCCUGGCAACCUUGAGGUUCUAACUCUGGUCCGUUAUCCGGAUCGAGGACAGUGUAUGGUGGGUAGUUUGACUGGGGCGGUCUCCUCCUAAAGAGUAACGGAGGAGUACGAAGGUGCGCUCAGACCGGUCGGAAAUCGGUCGCAGAGUAUAAAGGCAAAAGCGCGCUUGACUGCGAGACAGACACGUCGAGCAGGUACGAAAGUAGGUCUUAGUGAUCCGGUGGUUCUGUAUGGAAGGGCCAUCGCUCAACGGAUAAAAGGUACUCCGGGGAUAACAGGCUGAUACCGCCCAAGAGUUCAUAUCGACGGCGGUGUUUGGCACCUCGAUGUCGGCUCAUCACAUCCUGGGGCUGAAGCCGGUCCCAAGGGUAUGGCUGUUCGCCAUUUAAAGUGGUACGCGAGCUGGGUUUAGAACGUCGUGAGACAGUUCGGUCCCUAUCUGCCGUGGACGUUUGAGAUUUGAGAGGGGCUGCUCCUAGUACGAGAGGACCGGAGUGGACGAACCUCUGGUGUUCCGGUUGUCACGCCAGUGGCAUUGCCGGGUAGCUACGUUCGGAAGAGAUAACCGCUGAAAGCAUCUAAGCGGGAAACUUGCCUCAAGAUGAGAUCUCACUGGAGCCUUGAGCUCCCUAAAGGGCCGUCGAAGACUACGACGUUGAUAGGUUGGGUGUGUAAGCGCUGUGAGGCGUUGAGCUAACCAAUACUAAUUGCCCGUGAGGCUUGACCAUAUAACACCCAAACAAUU
rnacentral:rRNA from 1 species